AUUGAACGCUGGCGGCAGGCCUAACACAUGCAAGUCGAACGAGGGGCGGACGGGUGAGAAAUGUCUGGGAAACUGCUCGAUGGAGGGGGAUAACUACUGGAAACGGUAGCUAAUACCGCAUACCAUCGGAUGUGCCCAGAUGGGAUUAGCUAGUAGGUGGGGUAAUGGCUCACCUAGGCGACGAUCCCUAGCUGGUAUGAGAGGAUGACCAGCCACACUGGAACUGAGCCACGGUCCAGACUCCGACGGGAGGCAGCAGUGGGGAAUCUUGCGCAAUGGGCGCAAGCCUGAUGCAGCCAUGCCGCGUGUAUGAAGAAGGCCUUCGGGUUGUAAAGUACUUUCAGCGGGGAGGCGUUACCCGCAGAAGAAGCACCGGCUAACUCCGUGCCAGCAGCCGCGGUAAUAC
rnacentral:rRNA from 1 species